GGACUUGUGUGUGCGCCUCUGAAGGAGACACUCAUGCCUCUCCCUGCCCGCCUCAAAGAGCUGUGCUGUAGACAUUGGCGGCGCAGUGGAUAGAAAAGGGGGUCUCCAGCGAGUGAUAGUACACUGAAGAAACCGAGCAGCAAGCGGCUUACUGUAGAAGCCGUACGGAGCAGUGACCGGAGCCAUCAGCUGACAGCGGCCGGAGCCCAGCAGAUCGGAUAGCCGGGGGAGCAGUGACCGGCGCCACCAGCUGACAGCGGCCGGAGCCCAGCAGAGCGGAGAGCCGGGGGAGCAGUGACCGGAGCCAUCAGCUGACAGCGGCCGGAGCCCAGCAGAUCGGAUAGCCGGGGGAGCAGUGACCGGCGCCACCAGCUGACAGCGGCUGGAGCCCAGCAGAGCGGAGAGCCGGGGGAGCAGUGACCGGAGCCAUCAGCUGACAGCGGCCGGAGCCCAGCAGAUCAAAUAGCCGGGGGAGCAGUGACCGGAGCAACCAUCGGACAGUGGCCGCGGUGCUGAACCACAGGUCAAUCACUCCUCCACUAAUUCACCUAUAGCUGAAUCCCCUGCCCACCAAUGAGAGGUUAUUGGGGCGGGGCUAUCUAUCAGAGCGAUAGUGAGUGUCAGGAGACAUUCACUGAAGACAUCUAAGGUCUGUAAUGAUAUUACUACAGUGCACUUAUUCACCCUUGACACUACUAUACAAACUCAGUACAUUUGUGGCAGAGAUAGUUACUAUUUAUUAAUUAAUAUUCACCAAGUGCUGACUGCCAAUAUAUAACUAUAAAGUGCAGACUGUAGUAAAGGAUAUCCAUCAAUACACUAUGGACAUAAGCAUAUUCAACUAAAAUCUAUAACUGGCUAGUUAUCGUUACCUCUGUGGCCAUGUACUAGAGACAUAUAAUACUGCUCUGGAUGAGUUACCUACUGACAAGCACAGGAUUUAUGAUUCAUCCAUGUGCAUCCAGCCAGUCUAGUCAAAAAGGAUACAGUUACAAUAUAUGUGUGGCAGUGUAAAGUAAGUGUAGCAACGAAUGGAUACAUAUUACAGCAAGAGAAACCAAGUAUUUAUUGAGAAGGAAUCUUACUUCAGCUCAAAGUUAACUGCAGUUAAUACAUAUUUACAAGCCAUGUAAAAGAUAGAAGUCUCUAUUACCCAGGAGCCACAGCUGCUUUGAUUUAAUAGUAAAGGAGAAUUAUUUGUUACCAAGUUUCUGCUUAUUUACGCUGGAGGACAUACUUUACUCAGUAUCCACCUCAAUAGAUUAUAUAUGCAUAUAUAAUUAAUCCACUACUCACGCAAGGGAGGAUUACAAAGGAUAACCCAACUUUAUUUAACCGGAGGAGUUAAUUAACUCAUAUGAAUAAGUCUAAGCGUGGGACUUAAUGAUUUUAAAAACAGUGAAUCAUAGUGAAACUUAAAUAAAAGACUGAACACUAGGAGAAGUCGGAAGUCACCAAAUCCAGAAGUCAGGUCACCCAAGGAGGGAUCACAUUGUCUUCACUAUUUAUUGGCUGGCCUAGACAUUUUGUUCUACCUAAAUCCCUACUGCCUACCAGCUGAAUUGAGCUGUUGACACCGUAUACAUAGAAAGGAUCUACCACACCAGAACUGUGUGGAUGCAAAGACAUGAUCAUAACUCCAGCGGUACAAUUGUGGUAACUACUAUGUCUUAUGGGCCCUGACCUACAUUGCUCUAAUGGACUUAGGGCCUAAUUCAGUAAGGAUUGCAAAUUCAUGCAUGUUAUUUUCAUCGUGGGACGUAAAUACUCACUAAUAGCACUUAGAAUUGGAUUCACGUUACUUAAGAUGCUGUCAUCACUUUCUGUUGGAGAAAGAUUUGGAUAAGAAAGCAGGUGGGACAUUGCCGCAUUGCAAGGGGAUCCAGUCAGGAUUCCGGCAUUCGGCAUCCUGGCAGUCAGAAUACCAAUGCAGGAAUCCCUACUCUGUUUGGAAUGCUGACACCAGCAUCCCGAAUAGGGUCUCCAGCCCGGUGGCGGAAUCCCUUCAGCCAAGAUCCCGAAUGCUCAUCCUCGCCACGUCGGAGAGGUAGGCCGCGGCGGGGGUAGGUUAGGUUUAGGCUGUGUG